GUUAAGAGACAGUUCCUUAAAAUGUUUGUCGAAACUGAUCGCAAUAAGACCAUGGACUGAUACAACUACCGGUACAAUAAUCGCUGAGUCAACACUCCACAUGUCGGUAAUCUUGUGAGCCAAGUCCAAGUAUUUCGAUACUUUUUCCUUUUCUGCUUUCACUAGAUUAUCAUCAUGUGGAAUAGUAACAUCUACAAUCAUUGCUCGACGCGCUGACCGGUCAACUAGUACUAUGGUCGAUUGGCUACAAUAUACCUGUCAGUGAUAACCGACCGAUUCCAGUAAAGCAGGGUACUGCUAUUUUCAAGAACUGACAUUGGGUCAUACCAGAUAUAGUACGGCAUUUCAGUACAUACUGCAGGCCAUACUGAAGAGCAAGUUGUUGAUGGAUUAUCUUGGCUACUUGAUUAUGUCUGUGCAAGUAUUAUACAAGUGAUCAUCAUUAUUGUGACAGCAGAUAAUACAUUCAUUAUUGUGAUAGUCUUCGAAUAAAAUUAAU